rnacentral:rRNA from 1 species
GUCGAACGGCAGCGCGAGAGAGCUUGCUCUCUUGGCGGCGAGUGGCGGACGGGUGAGUAAUAUAUCGGAACGUGCCCAGUAGCGGGGGAUAACUACUCGAAAGAGUGGCUAAUACCGCAUACGCCCUACGGGGGAAAGGGGGGGAUCGCAAGACCUCUCACUAUUGGAGCGGCCGAUAUCGGAUUAGCUAGUUGGUGGGGUAAAGGCUCACCAAGGCAACGAUCCGUAGCUGGUUUGAGAGGACGACCAGCCACACUGGGACUGAGACACGGCCCAGACUCCUACGGGAGGCAGCAGUGGGGAAUUUUGGACAAUGGGGGAAACCCUGAUCCAGCCAUCCCGCGUGUAUGAUGAAGGCCUUCGGGUUGUAAAGUACUUUUGGCAGAGAAGAAAAGGUAUCCCCUAAUACGGGAUACUGCUGACGGUAUCUGCAGAAUAAGCACCGGCUAACUACGUGCCAGCAGCCGCGGUAAUACGUAGGGUGCAAGCGUUAAUCGGAAUUACUGGGCGUAAAGCGUGUGUAGGCGGUUCGGAAAGAAAGAUGUGAAAUCCCAGGGCUCAACCUUGGAACUGCAUUUUUAACUGCCGAGCUAGAGUAUGUCAGAGGGGGGUAGAAUUCCACGUGUAGCAGUGAAAUGCGUAGAUAUGUGGAGGAAUACCGAUGGCGAAGGCAGCCCCCUGGGAUAAUACUGACGCUCAGACACGAAAGCGUGGGGGAGCAAACAGGAUUAGAUACCCUGGUAGUCCACGCCCUAAACGAUGUCAACUAGCUGUUGGGGCCGUUAGGCCUUAGUAGCGCAGCUAACGCGUGAAGUUGACCGCCUGGGGAGUACGGUCGCAAGAUUAAAACUCAAAGGAAUUGACGGGGACCCGCACAAGCGGUGGAUGAUGUGGAUUAAUUCGAUGCAACGCGAAAAACCUUACCUACCCUUGACAUGUCUGGAAAGCCGAAGAGAUUUGGCCGUGCUCGCAAGAGAACCGGAACACAGGUGCUGCAUGGCUGUCGUCAGCUCGUGUCGUGAGAUGUUGGGUUAAGUCCCGCAACGAGCGCAACCCUUGUCAUUAGUUGCUACGCAAGAGCACUCUAAUGAGACUGCCGGUGACAAACCGGAGGAAGGUGGGGAUGACGUCAAGUCCUCAUGGCCCUUAUGGGUAGGGCUUCACACGUCAUACAAUGGUCGGGACAGAGGGUCGCCAACCCGCGAGGGGGAGCCAAUCUCAGAAACCCGAUCGUAGUCCGGAUCGCAGUCUGCAACUCGACUGCGUGAAGUCGGAAUCGCUAGUAAUCGCGGAUCAGAAUGUCGCGGUGAAUACGUUCCCGGGUCUUGUACACACCGCCCGUCACACCAUGGGAGUGGGUUUCACCAGAAGUAGGUAGCCUAACCGUAAGGAGG